UUGCGGCCACAUCACGGUGAAACACCGGUUCCCGUACGAUUACUGAAGUUAAGCAACGUCGAGCCUGGUCAGUAACAAGAUGGGGGACAGUUUGGGAAUACCAGCUGCUGUAAG